UACGUAGGAGGCGAGCGUUGUCCGGAGUUACUGGGCGUAAAGGGUGCGCAGGCGGUGGCCUAAGUUUGCGGUGAAAGCUCCCGGCUUAACUGGGAGAGGGCCGUGAAGACUGGGGCACUUGAGGCUCGGAGAGGGACGUGGAAUUCCGGGUGGAGCGGUGAAAUGCGUAGAGAUCCGGAAGAACACCAACGGCGAAGGCAGCGUCCUGGCCGAGUCCUGACGCUCAGGCACGAAAGCGCGGGGAGCAAACAGG
rnacentral:rRNA from 1 species